rnacentral:tRNA from 1 species
CAAAGCGUAGCUAUAACACUAAAGCAUUCAGCUUACACCUGAAAGAUGUCUACCAGUACUAGACCGCCUUGA